AAGACCUUGCGCUUUUGGAGCGGCCGAUGCCUGAUUAGCUAGUUGGUGGGGUAAUGGCCUACCAAAGCUUCGAUCAGUAGCUGGUCUGAGAGGACGGCCAGCCACACUGGGACUGAGACACGGCCCAGACUCCUACGGGAGGCAGCAGUGGGGAAUUUUGGACAAUGGGGGCAACCCUGAUCCAGCCAUGCCGCGUGAGUGAAGAAGGCCUUCGGGUUGUAAAGCUCUUUCAGUCGGGAAGAAAAGGUUACGGUUAAUACCUGUAAUUCAUGACGGUACCGACAGAAGAAGCACCGGCUAACUACGUGCCAGCAGCCGCGGUAAUACGUAGGGUGCGAGCGUUAAUCGGAAUUACUGGGCGUAAAGGGUGCGCAGGCGGUUCUGUAAGUCAGAUGUGAAAUCCCCGGGCUUAACCUGGGAACU
rnacentral:rRNA from 1 species